AACUUUACAAUGCAGGAAACUGUGAUAAGGGAACCCCGAGUGCCCGUAUACGCGGGCUGUCCGGGUGUAUAAAAAGCAUCUGAAGAAAGGGCCGGGCAAGACCGGUGCCAGCCGCCGCGGUAAUACCGGCGGCUCGAGUGGUGACCACUUUUAUUGGGCUUAAAGCGUUCGUAGCUGGACUCUUAAGUCUCUUGGGAAAUCCCGCGGCUCAACCGUGGGGCGUUUAAGAGAUACUGGGAGUCUAGGAACCGGGAGAGGUAAGAGGUACUUCGGGGGUAGAAGUGAAAUUCUGUAAUCCUCGAGGGACCACCGAUGGCGAAGGCAUCUUACCAGAACGGCUUCGACAGUGAGGAACGAAAGCUGGGGGAGCGAACGGGAUUAGAUACCCCGGUAGUCCCAGCCGUAAACGAUGCGCGUUAGGUGUACUGGUGACCACGAGUCACUGGGGUGCCGAAGGGAAACCGUGAAACGUGCCGCCUGGGAAGUACGGUCGCAAGGCUGAAACUUAAAGGAAUUGGCGGGGGAGCACAAGGGCGAUCC
rnacentral:rRNA from 1 species